UACGGAGGGUGCGAGCGUUGUCCGGAUUUAUUGGGCGUAAAGCGAGCGCAGGUGGUUUAUUAAGUCUGGUGUAAAAGGCAGUGGCUCAACCAUUGUAUGCAUUGGAAACUGGUAGACUUGAGUGCAGGAGAGGAGAGUGGAAUUCCAUGUGUAGCGGUGAAAUGCGUAGAUAUAUGGAGGAACACCGGUGGCGAAAGCGGCUCUCUGGCCUGUAACUGACACUGAGGCUCGAAAGCGUGGGGAGCAAACAGG
rnacentral:rRNA from 2 species